rnacentral:rRNA from 1 species
UGGGGAAUAUUGCACAAUGGGGGAAACCCUGAUGCAGCGACGCCGCGUGAGCGAUGAAGGCUUUCGAGUCGUAAAACUCUGUCCUAUGGGAAGAUAAUGACGGUACCAUAGAAGAAAGCCCCGGCUAAUUACGUGCCAGCAGCCGCGGUAAUACGUAAGGGGCGAGCGUUGUCCGGAAUUAUUGGGCGUAAAGAGUGCGUAGGCGGCAAAUUAAGUCAGAUGUGAAAACUAAGGGCUCAACCCAUAGAUUGCAUCUGAAACUGAUAUGCUUGAGUCAAGGAGAGGAAAGUGGAAUUCCUAGUGUAGCGGUGGAAUGCGUAGAUAUUAGGAGGAAUACCGGUGGCGAAGGCGACUUUCUGGACUUGAACUGACGCUGAGGCACGAAAGCGUGGGGAGCAAACAGG